ACUAUGCCAAAAUGUUUCCAACAAGCCAGAGAUAUCUGUAACUUCAAUCAAUGACACGGAGUGUGUCGUUUGGUCGCCUGUCAAUGGCGUCAUAUAACCUUUGACCCCUGGUCUAGAUUGCUUUAACUUCUGUCU